rnacentral:rRNA from 1 species
UACGUAGGGUGCGAGCGUUGUCCGGAUUUAUUGGGCGUAAAGAGCGUGUAGGCGGCCAGACAGGUCCGUUGUGAAAACUCGAGGCUCAACCUCGAGACGCCGAUGGAAACCGUCUGGCUAGAGUCCGGAAGAGGAGAGUGGAAUUCCCGGUGUAGCGGUGAAAUGCGCAGAUAUCGGGAAGAACACCCGUGGCUAAGGCGGCUCUCUAGUACGGUACUGACGCUGAGACGCGAAAGCGUGGGAGGCGAACGAGG